ACCACACUUCUUGUAAAGCCUCCAGAACCACCUAGAAGUUACUUGCUGGGAAGACAAGGAAGGGUGGACAGACAGGUGAGCCAGAGGAGUGCCGGCCAGUGCAGCACCCAACACCCGCAGCCCUGGCACAGACACCGUCGGCCUUGGCAUCACACCGCCUUGGCACAAGGUGGCUGCGGCUGAAAGGGUCUGGCCCAGACCCACAUGGCCACAUGUCAGUCAAGCUGCCUUGGUUGGGCAAGGUCAUGCUGAGCCAGUGACACUGGUCCUUUCAGCCGCCCACCCCAGAAGACUCUCCAUAAUCCCCAGGAAUCCAGAUCCAUCUCCUAAGCAUUUUAGAUCACAUGCUCCCUUCCCUUGGCAGGGACAGCCUGACUACUGGCUUCUGCCUCGGUUGCUCCUGCAAUCCUCCAGAGCUACCCUGGGCCUCUCUCCUGCCUUCCCGCUCAGCCAGGCAGUGGCCCAUCACUGGCUGUCCUGGCAGUGGGUUAGUCGGCACUGUGUUCCCUAUGUGCUGUAAAUGGUUGGCAUCUUCUCUGAGUUAUCUCCUCCAGUCCCUACAACGAUAUUGUGAGGUGAGUAUCACCAUAUUCCCAUUUUACAGAUGAGAAGACAGGGACAAGAGCUUAAGCACUUUGCCCAAGAUUACCAGCAAGUAAGCAGAAAAGCCACUGUUCCAGCACAAGCAUUUGGACCCCUGAUUCUGGUCUCUUAGUACCUUCUCUAUAUUGAUCACGGGCAGUGACUUAAACUCCCAAACCUUCCUUUCCUCGUCUGUGCAACAAGGUAAUCUCAAGCCCACAGGAUCAUUAGUGGAUCCACACACACGCGGUUCACACACACUGUUCCACACACAUACUAUUCCCUCUUUCCACACACAGCCUUGAUUGGUUUGAGGAGCCGCUCCUGCCCUCCCCAGGUUUCUUUCACGGACAGUAAAUCCACCAGAGCUUUCUCGAACCUGUUGGCAUCUGCACAGCUUCCUGUUCCUCUCUCUCCCCCAUGUCAAUGUGGCCAAGGACUCUUAUCAAGGCCUCCUACAUGCUAGGCAGGGAGGUAAAGCUUCACACACACAUACAUACACACACACACACACACACAAAAACACACGCAUACACAAUCACAUGCACACACACAUACAUUCACACUCAACACACACACUCACACUUAACACAUACACACAUGCUCACAUGCACACACACACACACAUACACAAACACUCACAAUCUCACAGACACACACUCACACACACACAUACUCCAGUGCUGACCUUGCCUCCACCUUCCAUCUCCCAAGUUGCAGCUCAGGGCUAGGGGUGUUAGGACACAUUGGGAGGGGGCACAGCCUGGGGCCACACCACAUCCUGCCCACGACAGAGCUCUGCUCAUUCACAACUCCCCCACAUCUGUUCACACAAACCCAUCAUGUCUUCCCGACCUGAGUGUGUGCAAAUGCCACGGGGGGCGGGGGGCUCAAGCUCAGCUCCACCUGCUGUCGUAUUUAUUAAUGUCCUCAGAGCCCAUCCCUGCAGAAUGCCCAGCUCCUCAGGCACUCACUUGGACCAGUCCAGUUUGCUCUCUCCCCCCUUGCUUGACACCCACAAAUGUGACAAACCUGCCCUCUGUGCUAGCAUCAGCCCUGCAUGAGCCUGUGAUGCAAGAGGCAGGGAAAUACAGUUGGCCUGGAGAAGGGGAAGGAUUUGAGGGAGUGGGCUUCCUGAUGACCUCAGGAUCAUCCUAUCCAUACCUCCCCUCUGCCUUGCUCCAGAGUUAGGCACCUCAGGGCCUGGAGAGAUGUCAGGCCCCCAGCAGCAAGGCCUGGAGCUGGGGACUUAUUGCUGCAUUUUUCUUGGCCAGGCAACAGGGAUUUCAACAUAAAGUUUCAGUUCCUCGGCACCUCCGCUUGCCCAUGGAAAAAGUGAUCUGCCCCCCUCUCUGGGUAGUUCCUCAUAUACUUGCAAGGCAGAAGCCUAGUGCAGCCCAGGGUGAGCCAUGGAACUGGGUUUCUUAGCCCACACUGCUUCUGUGGGUCUUCAGCAUAACGAAGUCUUGCUUUCAGCAAACUCAUUACAGGAAGGGCUGGAUUUACCCCAAAAUUACAGGCAGUGUUUUUUUCUCUUGCCUUCCUCUGUAUCCAGCUUCCACCCCAACUUCCUGCUCUAAGCCCUGGGCUCACUGAGCAAGUUCACGGCUCCCCUAAGGAGCCCUAUGCUUUUUUUCCCUUAGGGCUUUUGUAGUGCUGUUCUCUGUUCAGAACCCAGAACUACUCCUGUCUUCUGAUGUUAGCUCCUCCUGGAAACCCUUGCCAGAAAAGCCCCAGUCCAUGUUGGGGCAGCCCCUCUCUGCCCCAUCGUCUCUUCCCAUUUCCCCACUGGGCCCUGCAGAACCCAGCUCUUGUUUAGACUUCCCUCCCAAGAGAACGGGAACAUGGUGGGGGUGAGGGCGGGGGGUGCUUUACCACUAGUUUCCAGCCCCAAGCAUAAGCCUGGCACAUCGCAGGAAGUCCAUACAUGGUUGUUAAAUUGCUGAAUAAAUACAAGAAGCUUCUAGACUCCCUCCAAGUCUACUCUUCCAAAGCUGUGCACAUACAGCAGGAAUAAAUAAUAUAAAAGUCUCCAAUGGCCACGGAGGUGACUCCGCUGAGGGACAUUCGUCACGGGGUCCAUGGGGAAUGGGGGGCACAUUCCUUCUUCGACGGGGCAACUCUUUUGGCGUUUCAUAAGAAGCCAGGAAUCUGGAUUUUUCUGGGCUAUAUUUCACUACUGAAAGGUGGCUGGCUGGCAGAGGCAUGCACUGUCCCUGGAAUGCCCGUGUGGUCGCUCACCACCCCGGCCCUCUGCAGCUAGCUGGGGCUGUGGGCCUCAUUCUGACCACUGAGCUGCGAACAAAAGUGUUGUGGGUCCCUUCCAGGCCAGCAGCUUUAAGAGCCAGUGCACAACCCUCCAGUUCUCCUGUCUCCACCGUGGUGACCCAGAAAGCCAUGUGUUUCAAGCCAUGUGCAGCUACUCGAUGGUCAGCCUGGGUCCCUGAGUGACUGUGGACCAGAACUGUCUGCCAACCCACACUGGAUAUGGACUGAGAGGGAGAAAUAAACCUCUGCCGUGACAAGCCACUGGUGUAUCAGGGAUUUGUUACUGCAGCAUAACCCAGACCAAGUCUCAUGCAAUACAUAAUCCAAUCAAAACA
rnacentral:lncRNA from 1 species